rnacentral:rRNA from 1 species
UACAGAGGGCUCAAGCGUUGUUCGGAUUCAUUGGGCGUAAAGGGCGCGUAGGCGGCGGGGUAAGUCGGGUGUGAAAUCUCAGAGCUCAACUCUGAAACUGCACUCGAUACUGCUCUGCUUGAGGACUGGAGAGGAGACUGGAAUUCACGGUGUAGCAGUGAAAUGCGUAGAUAUCGUGAGGAAGACCAGUGGCGAAGGCGGGUCUCUGGACAGUUACUGACGCUGAGGCACGAAGGUCAGGGGAGCAAACGGG